rnacentral:rRNA from 1 species
GACGAACGCUGGCGGCGUGCUUCAUACAUGCAAGUCGAACGAGAAGUUACCUUCGGGUAAUGGAAAGUGGCGGACGGGUGAGUAAAAUGUAGGAAAUCUGCCCUUAAGAGGGGGACAACAGAGGGAAACUUCUGCUAAUACCCCAUAUGAGCGUAGCUGAAAUGCUAUUCUUGAAAACUCCGGUGCUUAAGGAUGAGCCUGCAUCUGAUUAGCUAGUUGGGGGUGUAAUGGACCACCAAGGCGACGAUCAGUAGCUGGUUUGAGAGGAUGAUCAGCCACAAUGGGACUGAGACACGGCCCAUACUCCUACGGGAGGCAGCAGUAGGGGAUAUUGCACAAUGGGGGAAACCCUGAUGCAGCAACGCCGCGUGAGGGAGAAGGUUUUCGGAUUGUAAACCUCUGUCUUUGGUGAAGAAGAAUGACGGUAGCCAAGGAGGAAGCUCCGGCUAACUACGUG